UUUUAUUGUUUUUUGGUUUUUAAUUAGUUUUGCAUACUAGUAAAAGAAAAUUUUAUGGCUAUAUAUAAUAGAAGUAGAGAGUUAAAAAGAAUUGGGUUUUAUCGUUGUAUGAUGAUUAUUAAUUUUUUUUGUUUUGAUAUGUCGAUCUCUAUUAUAUCUGUGUUUUUUUUUGUUAUUAGAAAUUUGUGUGUUUUGAAGUUUUUAUUUGGGGCUAUAUGAUUUAGAGUUUUAUUUUUUGUAGUGUUGUGACUUGCCCUUUUGUUUUAUAAAAGUGGAUGGUUUGUUUUUUUAUUAAUUUUUUAAUAGGUUGUUAGUUUUUAUUUUAGUAGAGGUUUUUUAUUUUUUGUUUUUGUAGAAUUUAGUUGUGAGAACUUGAAGUAUGAUCAAAUGUUUUUUAAAGACUGAUGUUUCUAUAUGAAAUUGUCUUCUGCUCUAUGAGUUUUUUAAUGGCCGCCUUAGCGUGAGGGCAUGAAAGUAGCAAAAUGAUUUGUGUUUUUAUUGGAUUCGAGUAUGAAAGGAGGUUUUGGUUGUUUUUGUUCUUUUUUUGUUUUGAACUAUUUUUUUAUUUAAGAAUUAAUAUAUAUAGUUGUACAAAGAUAAGUCUUCGGAAAUUCUGUUAGCUUGUUGUUUUUAGAGACAAUAAGCUAGGGUUGUUUAGGGCAAAAAUGUAUGUAGUUAGAUUUUACUAUUAUUAUUGAAAAGAGUUACUCCGGAGUUAACAGAAAUUUACGUUUUUUCUAGAUGUUAUGGAAAAAAGGAUUUUACAUCGAUGUUGUAUUUUAGUUGGGUGAAGGAGUAGUGAUUUUGUUUUUUUGAGACUGUUCUUCUUUUAGGAAACUAAACGUGAUAUUAGUUUUAAUUCAUUGUGAGAUAGAAUUGAUUAUCUUGUUAACUAUUUUGUUUUUUAGUGGUUAGUACGAAAGGAAAAUUAUUAGAAUUUUUAAAUUUUGUGUA
rnacentral:rRNA from 1 species